GCCCCCGUAGCUCAGGCGGAUAGAGCAGCGGUUUCCUAAACCGUUUGCCGGGUGUUCGAGUCACCCCGGGGGCG
rnacentral:tRNA from 1 species